GAGCCAUCAUGGUGUAGUGGUUUCAGCAUUCAACUACAACUCUGGAGACCAGGGUUCAAAUCCCUGGUUCA